rnacentral:lncRNA from 1 species
UCCACGAGAAUAACCUCCUCUCUUUUCCCUGGAGCUCCCUCUUCCGUAAUGGGGACCUCGAGCCUCCCCCCGGGGACCUCCUCUUCAACAGCAGCGGAGACCCCAGAAGCGCCCACAAUAGGAAGGACAAGGUCCGACCUCACCGAUCCAACACCCUCAGCCACUUCAGAGAUAAUCAUGGGACCCUCUUCCGUCCCCUCGUUAGAAAUACCUUG